UGUUCAAGGGCUCUUUUUGACACAUAAAAAAAACCUCCGCACAGACCGCUUCCCAUUCUGACGGUAGAAGAGAUACAGAGAGAUUGCCCGACGGAGGGGAGAGAGAGCGCGCGACGGAGGCAGAGUAAGAUAGAGAGAGGCGCGGCGGUGGUGGAGGAACCGACUGUGGUCUCCGGCCGACGGUAAUGUUGUCGAUCGUCGCUGAAUGGGAACUUGAUGGCCGGGGGUUCUAGGGUUCCGGCGGCGGUACCGGUAACUUCAAUCGGUCGAUUCUCGAGACGGAAUUCAUUGUCUGAUUUGGGCGGUGAUAGAUUCAUCACCAAGCAUGCGUUCUUAUUUGGCACUCCCACAAGUACAACACCCACUAAAACCCUAACGUCCAUGUUUAACUUCAUCCUUCACGCCUCUUCUUCAUGUUCUGAUUGCAACUAUACUAUAAAGACAGAUAGAUCUGAUAUAAGGGAGACGAUGAUGAUGGGCGAUGAUGUUGAUGAUGAUGGAGAUGGUUGACCCACGCGCCGAUAGUAGUCUUUCCGGUGGCCAAGGUCCUGCUUUUUUCGGCGGUGUGUUCUUAAUCAGAACCGCUAGCGAGUGAAUUUUUGGUGAAGUCUCCGGCAUUACUGCAGAUUGGUUACUCCCAAGAUACCUUCAGUAAGUGACAAUGUACUACUAUAUCACACUAGAAGCGAAUGAUGGAGGUGAGAAGAAGAAGAUGUGUGAAGCGAAUGUUUGAGUCAAGCCAUGGAUGAACUUUAACGAAUUGCAGGGUUUUGAAGUUGUUCACGCUUAGCUUUCUUCUGCUGGACAUAAACUCUCCUGGGCGGGCACAGAGAUUUGUGGCGGCUAUCGGGAUUUCAAAAGGAAUUCAGCCCAAACAACGUUAAAAUAACUGAUGUUUUGUUGGAUCAAAGUUUUAGGUGAACUUUUCUCUUAAUUCAAGCAGAAUCUAAGGUGGCUGGGCAUUCUAUCACCAAAUCAAGUGAAACUCUUAGCAAAAGGUUUGACAUUUAGGAUAAUGAUCAUGACCAUGUAUAUGACUUGGGAGCUAUCAUGCUAGAAUCGCUCUCAAGACAACAUUUUGAAAGCCCCAAUGCCUUUCGCGCAACGCGCGCAUAUUGAAAAACACUAGUGAACUUAAA